AUGCAAGAGGCAAAGAAAUCCAUGAAAGAAAAGGGUAUUAAAGUUGAAGAUGUUAAGAAUUUACCUCCUAUUGAAGAAAUACAUGGUCUUAAUUUACCGCAUGUUGAAGAAAUAUAUGGUUUUAAUCCAUCAACUAUUGAAGAAACACAUGGUCUUGAUAACCCGACACAGGUAGUAAAGGUAAAUUCUCUAUAUAGAUAUGAUAAAGCUGAAAUCCCUCCUACUAAAUUUGCUAGCCAAUGUUUGGAUGAGUUUGAUAACUUUAUGGUUAAGCAAGAAGACUUCAAUGCUUAUUUUGGUAGACAAUUGAAACAAAAUGCUUAUAUGAUUGAACACUUGGGUGAUUAUAUGUCUAGAGUUAAAGGUGAACUUAAACUCAUUAGUAAACAUGCUUCUAUGGUUACCACUCAAGUAGAACAAGUACUUAAAGCUCAGAAUGAUUCGCUCAGUGAAUUAAAUAGUAAGAAUAAUGAUAAUGUUGUUAGAGUUAUGACUAGAGGUGGUAAAAUGACCCAGGAACCUUUGUAUCCUGAGGGCCAUCCUAAGAGAAUUGAGCAAGAUUCUCAAAGAAAUGAUAUUGAUGCACCUAGUCCUUCUAAGAGGAAGAAAAAGAAAAAUGAUAGGACUUUGCAUGCUUCUAGUGAACCUGUUAUCGACACACCUGAGAAUCCCAAUGAUAUCUCUAUUUCUGAUGCUGAAACACAAUCUGGUAAUGAACAUGAAACUAGUGAUAAUGUUAAUGAUAAUGUUCAUGUUGAUGCUCAACCUAGCAAUGAUAAUGAGGUAGAAGUUGAACCUGCUGUUGAUGUUGAUAACCCACAAUCAAAGAAUCAACGUUAUGAUAAGAGAGACUUUGUUGCUAGGAAACACGGUAAGGAAAGAGAGCCUUGGGUUCAGAAACCCAUGCCUUUUCCUCCUAAGCCAUCCAAGAAGAAGGAUGAUGAGGAUUUUGAGCGCUUUGCUGAAAUGAUUAGACCUAUCUUUUUGCGUAUGCGUUUGACUGAUAUUCUUAAACUGAAUCAUUAUGCUAAGUACAUGCAAGAUAUUGUUACUAAUAAAAGAAAGAUACCGGAAGCUGAAAUUUCCACCAUGCUUGCUAAUUAUACUUUUAAGGGUGGAAUACCUAAGAAAUUAGGAGAUCCAGGAGUACCAACUGAAGGAAAUAUGCCCUAG
rnacentral:rRNA from 1 species